rnacentral:rRNA from 1 species
GGCUCUUUGAAUUAAUAAUAUAAAGAGUCGGACCUGCCCACUGAAAAUUUUUAACGGCCGCGGUACUCUGACCGUGCAAAGGUAGCAUAAUCAUUUGCCUUAUAAUUGAAGGCUUGUAUGAAUGGUUUGACAAGAAUAUAACUGUCUCUGCAUAAUUAUAUAGAAUUUUAUUUUAAAGUGAAGAAGCUUUUAUAAUAUUAAUAGACAAGAAGACCCUAUCGAGCUUAAAAAUAUAUAAUUGAAGAUAUAUUAAAUUGAAUUAAAAAAUUAUCUAUUAUAAAUUUUGGUUGGGGCGACUUAGGAACAGUUGAAGCUUCCUAAAACUGUUAAAUAAAGCAAAUGAUCCAAGACAUCUUGAUUAAUGAAAUUAGUUACCGUAGGGAUAACAGCAUUAUCUUCUUUAAGAGUCCUUAUCGAAAAGAAGGUUUGUGACCUCGAUGUUGGACCAGAAUAUCCUAAAGGUGUAGCAGUCUUUAAGGGUUGGUCUGUUCGACCAUUAAAAUUCUACG